GCAUGGCUGAAUUCUGUUCCAGCCUGUCUGUGGUGGAUACAGUCAGACACCAUGCAAAAGUCUUGUCUCAUUUCUACUAACUGACAGGAUGAGCGCUACUCUACGCCUCAUCCAGCUGUACAGGAGUGAGUACAACG